GGGGCUCCUUGGUGAUUCAUAAUAACUUAACGAAUCGCAUGGCCUUGCGCCGGCGAUGGUUCAUUCAAAUUUCUGCCCUAUCAACUUUCGAUGGUAAGAUAGUGGCUUACCAUGGUCUCAACGGGUAACGGGGAAUUAGGGUUCUAUUCCGGAGAGGGAGCCUGAGAAACGGCUACCACAUCCAAGGAAGGCAGCAGGCGCGCAAAUUACCCAAUCCCAAUUCGGGGAGGUAGUGACAAUAAAUACUGAUACAGGGCUCUUUCGGGUCUUGUAAUUGGAAUGAGUACAAUCUAAAUCCCUUAACGAGGAACAAUUGGAGGGCAAGUCUGGUGCCAGCAGCCGCGGUAAUUCCAGCUCCAAUAGCGUAUAUUAAAGUUGUUGCCGUUAAAAAGCUCGUAGUUGAACCUUGGGUCUGGCUGAUCUGUCCUCCUAAUCGAGCGCACGGAUUCGGUCGGACCUUUCCUUCUGGGGAGCCCCAUGCCCUUCACUGGGCGUGGUGGGGAACCAGGACUUUUACCUUGAAAAAAUUAGAGUGUUCAAAGCAGGCCUUUGCUCGAAUACAUUAGCAUGGAAUAAUAGAAUAGGACAGAGGUUCUAUUUUGUUGGUUUCUAGGACCGCUGUAAUGAUUAAUAGGGAUAGUCGGGGGCGUCCGUAUUCAAUUGUCAGAGGUGAAAUUCUUGGAUUUAUUGAAGACGAACUACUGCGAAAGCAUUCGCCAAGGAUGUUUUCAUUAAUCAGUGAACGAAAGUUAGGGGAUCGAAGACGAUCAGAUACC
rnacentral:rRNA from 1 species